rnacentral:lncRNA from 1 species
AGGUAACGCAGAGUUUGGACCACCAAGCUCGAGCCUACGGCCAUGAACAAUGAGGAAAGCGAACCAGCGUAUCGACGACUGGGCACCUCCAAACGACGUCAACGUCGGACAAGUCAAACGACAAGAGAAGUUCGAUGGAUGAUAAUUUAAUACAAUAUGCUGACGAGGUAACACAAAAUCUCCUUUUCAUUUCAUUUGCAAAAUAUACAUCACGAAGCCCAGAAGGCCAA